rnacentral:rRNA from 1 species
GCUAUGACGGGUAACUGGCUUGAGAGAGUGGUCAGUCAGAUUGGAACUGAGAUACGGUCCAGACUCCUACGGGAGGCGGCAGUGAGGAAUAUUGCGCGCUGUGGCGAGAGCCUGACGCAGCGACGCCGCGUGGAGGAUGACGGCCUUCUGUCGUUGUAGACUCCUGUUGUUGUGGGAGGAAAUCCCCAGCUCUAAUACUGUUGGUGGAUGACGGUACCAUCAUAGAAAGCACCGGCUAACUUCUUGCCAGCAGCCGCGGUAAUACGAGGGGUGCUAGCGUUAUUCGGAAUAGCUGGGCGUAAAGGGUGUGUAGACGGCAUGUUAAGUCGACUGUUAAUACUUCGCCCAACCGAAGAGAUGCGGUCGAAACUGGUGUGCUAGAGGGUGGAAGAGAGAAGUGGAAUUCUCGGAGUAGCGGUAAAAUGCGUAGAUCUCGAGAGGAACACCGAUGGCGAAGGCAGCUUCUUGGUCCAUUCCUGACGUUGAAACACGAAAGCGUGGGGAGCAAACAGGAUUAGAUACCCUGGUAGUCCACGCCGUAAACGAUGAUCACUAGACGUCGGAUUUGUUUUACAGAUUCGGUGUCGUAGCUAACGCGUUAAGUGAUCCGCCUGGGGAGUACGGUCGCAAGACUAAAACUUAAAGGAAUUGACGGGGGUCCGCACAAGCGGUGGAACAUGUGGUUUAAUUCGACACUACGCGAGGAACCUUACCUAGGCUUGACAUGCAUUUGACAGCCGUAGAAAUACGGUCUUCUGAACUUGUUCAGACAGGUGCACAGGUGCUGCAUGGCUGUCGUCAGCUCGUGUCGUGAGAUGUUAGGUUAAGUCCUCUAACGAGCGCAACUCCUACUACCAGUUGCAACUGCGUGAGCAAGGCACUCUGGUGGAACUGCCUGGGAAACCAGGAGGAAGGUGGGAAUGACGUCAAGUCAGCAUGGUCCUUAUGUCUAGGGCUACACACGUGUUACAAUGGCCAGUAUAACGAGCUGCAAGCCCGCGAGGGCGAGCGAAUCUCUAAAAGCUGGUCUCAGUUCGGAUUGGAGUCUGCAACUCGACUCCAUGAAGUUGAAAUCGCUAGUAAUCGCGCAUCAGCAACGGCGCGGUGAAUACGUUCUCGGACACUUGUACACACCGCCCGUCACACCACGAAAGCUGUUUGUACCCGAAGGCGUCUUAGCUAACCCGAAAGGGAA